AGCAGUAACAACUGAAUUACUUUGGAAUUACAGGGUAUAAGAACAUAGGUAUUUAAUCUAUUCUAUAUUUACAGGUAAAAAUAGAAUAGAUUAAAUACCUAUGUUCUUAUACCCUGUAAUUCCAAAGUAAUUCAGUUGUUACUGC